UUUUCUUUUCAUAUUUCUCGCCAUUUUCUCAGUGUUCUUAAGCUUUCUUAUGGCUAGUGAAGUACUGAAGUGACAAAGAAGCAAAAUUUGAACUUUUUCCAGCUCAAUCUCUCUCUGAAUUGCUGUCAACAAAAGAAAACCCCUAAAAUUGCCAUAAAUUCUAAGAAAAGUUAGUGAAUUUUGAUGUGUUUUGCUAAAACCGCAGAAGAGGAAAACGUUGUUCGUCUAUCAAUUUAUUGCUUUUGUGGUCUUUCUUGCUCUGAUUUUUCCAGCUGAACUGGACUAAGCGACAGAUAUAAUCUGCAUAAGUGCUAUAGUUUUCGGCUUGGAAAUCUUUUUUUUUUGGGGGGGUUUCCUCGUUUGUUUUGGCAAUUGUAUAUACACAAAUGCUUUUCCUAAAUUAUUGAUGUAAGUUGUAUAAUGCAUACUCGAUACUCUCUCUAUGACGGCUUCCUUGGCAGAACUCAUUCGCCUUUCCCGCUGUUUCUCAACCUCAAAUCGAAAGACAAAACGCUUACUUUCUACCCUCCAACCAAACCCUCGGCUCAACAGUUCCCUCCACACUGGAGAUGUGUAUAGUCGAAUAUUAGACAAGUGCCCAGAUAUCAAGAUAAUAGAAAAAGUUCAUUCUAGGAUCAUUUUCGACCCAGACCUAUGCCUAAACACGUCCAUUGGCAUCAAAUUAAUGCGAGCAUAUGCAGCUUGUGGCCAGACCAAUAUCACCCGGCAACUGUUUGACAAAAUUCCGGUUAAAAAUGUUGUGGUUUACAAUGUCAUGAUCAGAAGCUAUGUCAACAACCGGUCUUAUAAAGAUGCUCUUUUGCUGUUCAAAAUCAUGCAUAUGGACAAUAUUCACCCUGAUCGUUAUACCCUUCCUUGUGUUCUUAAAGCUUGUUCAGUUUCUGAGAAUACGUGGUUAGGGCUGCAAAUUCAUGCACCAAUUAUAAAGAAUGGUCUUGAUUCAAAUUUAUAUACAGGAAAUGGUUUGGUGGCCAUGUAUGGGAAAUGUGGGUUUUUGGCUGAGGCUCGGCAGGCUCUUGAUGAAAUGCCUCGAAGGGAUGUCAUUUCUUGGAAUUCAAUGGUUGCUGGAUAUGCUCAAAAUGGAAGCUUUGAUGAUGCAUUAGAGGUUUGCAAGGAAAUGAACUUGUUGGGUCUGAAACUCGAUGCAGGGACAAUGGCUAGCCUUUUGCCUGCUGUAACCAAUACAUGUAUGGAAAAUGUUGCAUUUGUGAAAACCAUGUUUUUGGAUAUGGACAAAAAGGACUUGGUUCCUUGGAAUGUGAUGAUGGCUGUAUAUGUCAAGAAUUCUAUGCCUAAAGAGGCUGUUGAAAUUUAUUUACAAAUGGAAGCUUGUUCUAUGGAGCCUGAUGCAAUAACUUUUGCUACGAUUCUUCCUGCUUGUGGUGAUCUUUCUGCUGUGUUAUUAGGAAGGAAGAUCCAUGAAAUGGUUGAGAGGAGAGGACUUCAACCCAAUUUAUCUCUUGAAAAUGCUUUAAUUGAUAUGUAUGCAAGGUGUGGGUGUUUGUUGGAAGCUAGGAAGCUUUUUGAUGCCAUGAAGCUUCGAGAUAUUGUGUCGUGGACUUCCUUGAUCUAUGCUUAUGGUAUGAGUGGUCAAGGUCAAAAUGCCGUUGCUUUAUUUUCAAGGAUGCUGGAAUCUGGCCUUAAGCCCGAUUCUAUUGCUUUUGUUUCUAUACUUUCAGCAUGCAGCCAUGCAGGGCUGUUACAGGCGGGAGAAUAUUACUACAAACUAAUGACAGAGGAGUAUAAGAUUGUUCCUAGGAUCGAGCAUUAUGCUUGCAUGGUGGAUUUGCGAGCACGAGCUGGGCAAAUCGAGAAGGCAUAUACUUUCAUCAAGCAGAUGCCCAUGGAUGCUAGUGAGAGGAUCUGGGGCACACUUUUGAGUGCUUGUCGUGUUUAUAAUAACAUGGAUAUAGGGGUUGUAGCUGCAGAUCAUCUUUUCUUGUUGGCACCUAAGCAGUCUGGUUAUUAUGUCUUGUUAUCAAAUAUUUAUGCAAAGGCUGGAAGAUGGCAAGAUGUAACUAAAAUUCGGUUGGUCAUGAAUGAAAGAGGUAUCAAGAAAAUCCCUGGUGUUAGCAAUGUUGAGCUCCAUAACCAAGUGCACACAUUUCUUGCCGGUGACAGGUUGCACCCCCAAUCAGGGAAGAUCUAUGAAGAGUUAGAUACAUUAAUAGGUAAGAUAAAGGAAGUGGGGUAUGUCCCAGUGACAGAUGGUGCUCUUCAUGAUGUUGAGGAGGAAGACAAAGAAAAUCAUCUGGUCGUUCAUAGUGAAAAGCUGGCAAUUGCCUUUGCAAUAAUGAACACCGAGGCAGGAACACCAAUCAGAAUUACAAAGAAUCUACGUGUCUGUGAAGAUUGCCACAUUGCUGCCAAGCUCAUAUCCAAGAUCACCAAACGUCUCAUUGUUGUGAGAGAUACUAGACGCUAUCAUCAUUUUGAAAAUGGAGUCUGCUCAUGUGGUGAUUAUUGGUGAACCAAUGGAAGAAAUACUACUGAUUAUCAAAGCUGAGGGAUAGAGGGAUCAGAAUGAGUCUUAUGGCCUGAGAAAAUAUAAUGACAUAACAUAGGAGGCCUUGCGUGCUUUAUGCCGAGAUAGGUUGACUGUGAAUUGCAAUGGUUACACUCCACUAAGAACUUUGGACCACUAGCUGCCUCUAUCCUCUGACAGAAUUGACUAAGCCAGACAUUUCUGGUGUUAGCUAGAGCAAAGGCUGGCUUAACAAUGAGAAUAAAAGUUCAGAAGAGGAACAAACUUGGGGAUUUCUUCUCUCGUGUUGGAUUAAUGAACAGCAAGG